rnacentral:lncRNA from 1 species
AAAUAAAGAUUGCAUUGUGAAAAUAAAAUUACACAGUUUUACACAAAAAAUUACACUGUUUAAUAUGAACGUUGCACUUUUUGAAAUAAAAAUUACACUCUUUGAAAUAAAGAUUUCACUCUUUCGAUAAAAAUUACACUAUUUCAGAGAAAAUUGCACUAUUAUAUAUCCGACCCUCAUAGUCUCAUCAUCAUCUUCUUCUUCCUCUUCUCUUUACCCCUUCCUCCCUCUUCCCUUCCGACCCCCAUCCUCACCAACGCGAGCCUCUCUACCCCGCAUGCUGCAUCGAAGCCUUGAAACACGGAAACGACUUCAUCGUCUCUGUCCGCUCCACUCAAAAU